UGAUAGCCUCGCAGGGCUGGUCGCGCCCCUUCUCCGGGGCCAGGGAAUCCGGUGCGAAUCCGGAACUGACGCGCAGCGGUGAGGGGGACGGGCGGGGCAGGCACGCCACUGGGAGACCGGGAAGGCGCCCCGCCGGGACGAACCCGAGUCCGAAGACCUGCCGGCACCUCCGCGCCCCG
rnacentral:ncRNA from 2 species